UUCCGGUUGAUCCUGCCGGACCCUACUGCUAUCGGGGUGGGACUAAAACAUGCGAGUCGAGCGCCUUCAAGCUAUGGUGAAGGCGCGGCGAACGGCUCAGUAACACGUGGCUAACCUACCCUUUGGACGGGGACAACCCCGGGAAACUGGGCCUAAUCCCCGAUAGAUGAGAAGUCCUGGAAUGGUUUCUCAUCUAAAAGGUGUUUAGAGCAUGCUUCUAGGCGCCGCCAAAGGAUGGGGCCGCGGCCGAUCAGGUUGUUGGUGAGGUAACGGCUCACCAAGCCUAUAACCGGUACGGGCCGUGAGAGCGGGAGCCCGGAGAUGGGCACUGAGAUAAGGGCCCAGGCCCUACGGGGCGCAGCAGUUGCGAAAACUCCGCAAUGCGCGAAAGCGUGACGGGGCUACCCCGAGUGCCGUCCGCUGAGGACGGCUUUUCCACGGUGUAAGGAGCCGUGGGAAUAAGGAGAGGGCAAGACUGGUGUCAGCCGCCGCGGUAAUACCAGCUCUCCGAGUGGUGGGGACGAUUAUUGGGCUUAAAGCGUUCGUAGCCGGCUCAGCAAGUCUUCCGUUAAAUCCAGCGAUCUAAUCGUUGGACUGCGGGAGAUACUGUUGGGCUAGGGGGCGGGAGAAGCCGACGGUAUUCUCGGGGUAGGGGUGAAAUCCUAUAAUCCCUGGAAGACCACCAGUGGCGAAGGCGGUCGGCUAGAACGCGCCCGACGGUGAGGGACGAAAGCUGGGGGAGCGAACCGGAUUAGAUACCCGGGUAGUCCCAGCUGUAAACGAUGCGGGCUAGGUGUUGGGGCGGCCACGAGCCGCUUCAGUGCCGCACGGAAGCAAUUAAGCCCGCCGCCUGGGGAGUACGGCCGCAAGGCUGAAACUUAAAGGAAUUGGCGGGGG
rnacentral:rRNA from 1 species